GGUUAAGCGACUAAGCGUACACGGUGGAUGCCCUGGCAGUCAGAGGCGAUGAAGGACGUGCUAAUCUGCGAAAAGCGCCGGCGAGGUGAUAUGAACCCUUGACCCGGCGAUGUCCGAAUGGGGAAACCCAGUGCAAUCCGUUGCACUAUCGUUAACUGAAUACAUAGGUUAACGAGGCGAACCGGGGGAACUGAAACAUCUAAGUACCCCGAGGAAAAGAAAUCAACCGAGAUUCCCCCAGUAGCGGCGAGCGAACGGGGAGCAGCCCGGAGUCUGAAUCAGCUUGUGUGUUAGUGGAACGGUCUGGAAAGUCCGACGGUACAGGGUGAUAGUCCCGUACACGAAAGCACACAUGCUGUGAACUCGAAGAGUAGGGCGGGACACGUGGUAUCCUGUCUGAAUAUGGGGGGACCAUCCUCCAAGGCUAAAUACUCCUGACUGACCGAUAGUGAACCAGUACCGUGAGGGAAAGGCGAAAAGAACCCCGGCGAGGGGAGUGAAAAAGAACCUGAAACCGUGUACGUACAAGCAGUGGGAGCCUCUUUAUGGGGUGACUGCGUACCUUUUGUAUAAUGGGUCAGCGACUUAUAUUCUGUAGCAAGGUUAACCGUAUAGGGGAGCCGAAGGGAAACCGAGUCUUAACUGGGCGUUAAGUUGCAGGGUAUAGACCCGAAACCCGGUGAUCUAGCCAUGGGCAGGUUGAAGGUUGGGUAACACUAACUGGAGGACCGAACCGACUAAUGUUGAAAAAUUAGCGGAUGACCUGUGGCUGGGGGUGAAAGGCCAAUCAAACCGGGAGAUAGCUGGUUCUCCCCGAAAGCUAUUUAGGUAGCGCCUCGUGAACUCAUCUUCGGGGGUAGAGCACUGUUUCGGCUAGGGGGCCAUCCCGGCUUACCAACCCGAUGCAAACUACGAAUACCGAAGAAUGUUAUCACGGGAGACACACGGCGGGUGCUAACGUCCGUCGUGAAGAGGGAAACAACCCAGACCGCCAGCUAAGGUCCCAAAGUCAUGGUUAAGUGGGAAACGAUGUGGGAAGGCACAGACAGCCAGGAUGUUGGCUUAGAAGCAGCCAUCAUUUAAAGAAAGCGUAAUAGCUCACUGGUCGAGUCGGCCUGCGCGGAAGAUGUAACGGGGCUAAACCAUGCACCGAAGCUGCGGCAGCGACGCUUAUGCGUUGUUGGGUAGGGGAGCGUUCUGUAAGCCGUUGAAGGUGUGCUGUGAGGCAUGCUGGAGGUAUCAGAAGUGCGAAUGCUGACAUAAGUAACGAUAAAGCGGGUGAAAAGCCCGCUCGCCGGAAGACCAAGGGUUCCUGUCCAACGUUAAUCGGGGCAGGGUGAGUCGACCCCUAAGGCGAGGCCGAAAGGCGUAGUCGAUGGGAAACAGGUUAAUAUUCCUGUACUUGGUGUUACUGCGAAGGGGGGACGGAGAAGGCUAUGUCAGCCGGGCGACGGUUGUCCCGGUUUAAGCAUGUAGGCGGAGGUUCCAGGUAAAUCCGGUACCUUAUUAACGCUGAGGUGUGAUGACGAGGCACUACGGUGCUGAAGUGAUAAAUGCCCUGCUUCCAGGAAAAGCCUCUAAGCAUCAGGUAACACGAAAUCGUACCCCAAACCGACACAGGUGGUCAGGUAGAGAAUACCAAGGCGCUUGAGAGAACUCGGGUGAAGGAACUAGGCAAAAUGGUGCCGUAACUUCGGGAGAAGGCACGCUGAUGUGUAGGUGAAGUCCCUGCGGACGGAGCUGAAAUCAGUCGAAGAUACCAGCUGGCUGCAACUGUUUAUUAAAAACACAGCACUGUGCAAACACGAAAGUGGACGUAUACGGUGUGACGCCUGCCCGGUGCCGGAAGGUUAAUUGAUGGGGUUAGCGGCAACGCGAAGCUCUUGAUCGAAGCCCCGGUAAACGGCGGCCGUAACUAUAACGGUCCUAAGGUAGCGAAAUUCCUUGUCGGGUAAGUUCCGACCUGCACGAAUGGCGUAAUGAUGGCCAGGCUGUCUCCACCCGAGACUCAGUGAAAUUGAACUCGCUGUGAAGAUGCAGUGUACCCGCGGCAAGACGGAAAGACCCCGUGAACCUUUACUAUAGCUUGACACUGAACACUGGUCCUUGAUGUGUAGGAUAGGUGGGAGGCUUUGAAGCGUGGACGCCAGUCUGCGUGGAGCCAACCUUGAAAUACCACCCUUUAAUGGCUGGUGUUCUAACGUAGACCCGUAAUCCGGGUUGCGGACAGUGUCUGGUGGGUAGUUUGACUGGGGCGGUCUCCUCCCAAAGAGUAACGGAGGAGCACGAAGGUUGGCUAAUCCUGGUCGGACAUCAGGAGGUUAGUGCAAUGGCAUAAGCCAGCUUGACUGCGAGCGUGACGGCGCGAGCAGGUGCGAAAGCAGGUCAUAGUGAUCCGGUGGUUCUGAAUGGAAGGGCCAUCGCUCAACGGAUAAAAGGUACUCCGGGGAUAACAGGCUGAUACCGCCCAAGAGUUCAUAUCGACGGCGGUGUUUGGCACCUCGAUGUCGGCUCAUCACAUCCUGGGGCUGAAGUAGGUCCCAAGGGUAUGGCUGUUCGCCAUUUAAAGUGGUACGCGAGCUGGGUUUAGAACGUCGUGAGACAGUUCGGUCCCUAUCUGCCGUGGGCGCUGGAGAAUUGAGGGGGGCUGCUCCUAGUACGAGAGGACCGGAGUGGACGCAUCACUGGUGUUCGGGUUGUCAUGCCAAUGGCACUGCCCGGUAGCUAAAUGCGGAAGAGAUAAGUGCUGAAAGCAUCUAAGCACGAAACUUGCCCCGAGAUGAGUUCUCCCUGAGACUUUAAGUCUCCUGAAGGAACGUUGAAGACGACGACGUUGAUAGGUCGGGUGUGUAAGCGCAGCGAUGCGUUGAGCUAACCGAUACUAAUGAACCGUGAGGCUUAACCUU
rnacentral:rRNA from 1 species